AAAGCGGGGGAUCGAAAGACCUCGCGCCAAUAGAUGGCCUAAGUCCGAUUAGCUAGUUGGUAGGGUAAAGGCCUACCAAGGCGACGAUCGGUAGCUGGUCUGAGAGGACGGCCAGCCACACUGGAACUGAGACACGGUCCAGACUCCUACGGGAGGCAGCAGUGGGGAAUAUUGGACAAUGGGGGAAACCCUGAUCCAGCAAUGCCGCGUGUGUGAAGAAGGCCUGCGGGUUGUAAAGCACUUUCGGUUGGGAAGAAAAGUUUGGCGCUAAUACCGCCGAACCUUGACGUUACUGACAGAAGAAGCACCGGCUAACUCUGUGCCAGCAGCCGCGGUAAUACAGAGGGUGCAAGCGUUAAUCGGAAUCACUGGGCGUAAAGCGUGCGUAGGUGGUCAUGCAAGUCGGAUGUGAAAUCCCCGGGCUUAACCUGGGAACUGCAUUCGAUACUACAUGGCUAGAGUAUGGUAGAGGGAAGUGGAAUUUCCGGUGUAGCGGUGAAAUGCGUAGAUAUCGGAAGGAACACCAAUGGCGAAGGCAGCUUCCUGGACCAAUACUGACACUGAGGCACGAAAGCGUGGGUAGCAAACAGGAUUAGAUACCCUGGUAGUCCACGCCCUAAACGAUGAGAACUAGCCGUUGGGAGAUUUAAUUCUCCUAGUGGCGCAGCUAACGCGUUAAGUUCUCCGCCUGGGGAGUACGGCCGCAAGGUU
rnacentral:rRNA from 1 species